AACGAACGCUGGCGGCAUGCCUAACACAUGCAAGUCGAACGAGACCUUCGGGUCUAGUGGCGCACGGGUGCGUAACGCGUGGGAACCUGCCCUUAGGUUCGGAGUAACUCCCCGAAAGGGGUGCUAAUACCGGAUAAUGUCUUCGGACCAAAGAUUUAUCGCCUUUGGAUGGGCCCGCGUUGGAUUAGCUAGUUGGUAGGGUAAAAGCCUACCAAGGCGACGAUCCAUAGCUGGUCUGAGAGGAUGAUCAGCCACACUAGGACUGAGACACGGCCCAGACUCCUACGGGAGGCAGCAGUGGGGAAUAUUGGACAAUGGGCGAAAGCCUGAUCCAGCAAUGCCGCGUGAGUGAUGAAGGCCUUAGGGUUGUAAAGCUCUUUUACCCGGGAUGAUAAUGACAGUACCGGGAGAAUAAGCUCCGGCUAACUCCGUG
rnacentral:rRNA from 1 species